rnacentral:rRNA from 1 species
CAAGUCGAACGAGAAAGUCCCCUUCGGGGGAUAAGUAAAGUGGCGCACGGGUGAGUAACACGUAGGUAAUCUACCUUCGGGUGGGGAAUAACCCAGGGAAACUUGGGCUAACACCGCAUAAUGCAGCGGCACCACAUGGUGACAGUUGUUAAAGCGGGGGAUUUUAGGACCUCGCGCCUGAAGAGGAGCCUGCGGCGGAUUAGCUAGUUGGUAAGGUAACGGCUUACCAAGGCGACGAUCCGUAGCCGGCCUGAGAGGGCGGUCGGCCACACUGACACUGACAUACGGGUCAGACUCCUACGGGAGGCAGCAGUCGGGAAUUUUGGGCAAUGGGCGAAAGCCUGACCCAGCAACGCCGCGUGAAGGAUGAAAUCCCUCGGGAUGUAAACUUCGCAAGAAUGGGAAGAAUUAGUAGGGGCUAAUACCCCCUAUGAUGACGGUACCAUUUGUAAGCUCCGGCUAACUCCGUGCCAGCAGCCGCGGUAAUACGGGGGGAGCAAGCGUUGUUCGGAUUUACUGGGCGUAAAGGGCGCGUAGGCGGUCAGCACAAGUCAGUUGUGAAAUCUCCGGGCUUAACUCGGAAAGGUCAACUGAUACUGUGCGACUAGAGUGCGGAAGGGGCAACUGGAAUUCUCGGUGUAGCGGUGAAAUGCGUAGAUAUCGAGAGGAACACCUGCGGCGAAGGCGGGUUGCUGGGCCGACACUGACGCUGAUGCGCGAAAGCCAGGGGAGCGAACGGGAUUAGAUACCCCGGUAGUCCUGGCCUUAAACGAUGGAUGCUUGGUGUCUGGGGUUUUAUAGUCCCCGGGUGCCGUAGCUAACGCGUUAAGCAUCCCGCCUGGGGAGUACGGUCGCAAGACUGAAACUCAAAGGAAUUGACGGGGACCCGCACAAGCGGUGGAGCAUGUGGUUCAAUUC